rnacentral:rRNA from 1 species
UACAGAGGUCUCAAGCGUUGUUCGGAUUCAUUGGGCGUAAAGGGCGCGUAGGCGGCAAGGCAAGUCGGGUGUGAAAGCUUGGGGCUUAACCCCGAAAGGGCACUCGAAACUGCCCUGCUAGAGGGCCGGAGAGGAGAUCGGAAUUCACGGUGUAGCAGUGAAAUGCGUAGAGCUCGUGAGGAAGACCGGUGGCGAAGGCGGAUCUCUGGACGGCCCCUGACGCUGAGGCACGAAGGUCAGGGGAGCAAACGGG